AUUGAACGCUGGCGGCAUGCCUUACACAUGCAAGUCGAACGGCAGCACGGGUGCUUGCACCUGGUGGCGAGUGGCGAACGGGUGAGUAAUACAUCGGAACAUGUCCUGUAGUGGGGGAUAGCCCGGCGAAAGCCGGAUUAAUACCGCAUACGAUCCACGGAUGAAAGCGGGGGACCUUCGGGCCUCGCGCUAUAGGGUUGGCCGAUGGCUGAUUAGCUAGUUGGUGGGGUAAAGGCCUACCAAGGCGACGAUCAGUAGCUGGUCUGAGAGGACGACCAGCCACACUGGGACUGAGACACGGCCCAGACUCCUACGGGAGGCAGCAGUGGGGAAUUUUGGACAAUGGGCGAAAGCCUGAUCCAGCAAUGCCGCGUGUGUGAAGAAGGCCUUCGGGUUGUAAAGCACCUUUGUCCGGAAAGAAAUCCUUGGCUCUAAUACAGUCGGGGGAUGACGGUACCGGAAGAAUAAGCACCGGCUAACUACGUG
rnacentral:rRNA from 1 species